rnacentral:rRNA from 1 species
UGCGUAGGCGGAUUAAUAAGUCAGUGGUGAAAACCUGCAGCUUAACUGUAGAACAGCCAUUGAUACUGUUAGUCUUGAGUACGGUCAAGGUAGGCGGAAUGUGUAAUGUAGCGGUGAAAUGCUUAGAUAUUACACAGAACACCGAUUGCGAAGGCAGCUUACUGGACCAUUACUGACGCUGAGGCACGAAAGCGUGGGGAGCGAACAGGAUUAGAUACCCUGGUAGUCC